AGACACAAACUGUGACCUCCUGCCAACAGGCAUGCGAAUGAGCCAUUUUAGAAGCUGACCCUCUAACCAUGUUCAAGCUUUCAAAUGACUGCAACCACUGCUGACAUGCUAAAUGCAACCACAUGAGAAACCCUGAGGCAGAAAAACCCAGGCUAGAGUACAAAUGUGAAUAACAUCACAUGCCAAUCAUUCAGGAGUUAUUCAAUAUGCACUGAUGACCCCAAGAGCAGUGAAAAUAACCGUGACAGAAGCUUCCUGAUGACUGGUAUUCUUAAAUGGGUGAAAUCGGAUUAAAAUGGCCAGCAUGAAGAGGCAUCAGAAUGGGGAAGAUGCAGUCUUGCUGUCACCCAGGCUGGAGUGCAGCGGCACAAUCUCCAGUCACUACAACUUCCGCCUCCCGGGUUCAAGCGAUUCUCCUGCCUCAGCUUCCUGAAUAGUUGGGAUUACAGGUGCCUGUGACCACACCCAGCUAAUUUUGUAUUUUGAGUAGAGACGGGAUUUCACCAUGUUGGUCAAGCUGGUCUCAAUCUCCUGGCCUCAUGAUCCGCCCCCCUCGGCCUACCAAAGUGCUGGGAUUAUAGGCAUGAGCCUCUGCACCGGUAGCUCUUUCUUAUGACAGAAGUUUCUCAACAGAGUACUUUCUUCUGAAAGCAGUAUCAUUUUUCCAUAUUUAAUCUCCACAAGAACCACUUUCAAAAAAUAACAGUAACCUGGCACUUUAAAGAACUAAAA
rnacentral:lncRNA from 10 species